GUUGCAAAGCACUUUGAAGAGAGAGUUAAAGAGGACGUGAAACCGGUGAGAUGGAAACGGAUAGAGCUAGCGUAUCUGUCCUGCAUUCAGCCACUUGGCAUUGGCGCCCGCGUAGCCGGCGGCCCCAGAUUGGGACGGUUACGCUGGGCAAUGUUGGUGCCGAGUGGUGCAUUUGUAGGUGGAGUGCGCCGAGGCGUUCGGGGCAGCGGUGUGAGCUUAGCUUUGAGGCCAGCUUGCUGGUACCCGGGCUGGGGGAGCAUUGUUUGCCUUGGGCGUUUAUAGAGGGAGUAUGGCUUACGAGCUCGGGUUGGUGUCGAGCUGAGAGUCGGCGGCGGUCGCAGGCGACACGUGCUGUGCUAUUAGUUCGGUCCUGCUCGAGCUCACAUGCUCGCUCUCGGUGUAAAAGCUGGUCAUCUUUCCGACCCGUCUUGAAACACGGACCAAGGAGUUUAUCGUGUGCGCGAGUCAUUGGGCGUUGAAAACCCAAAGGCGCAAUGAAAGUGAAUGCUCCGCAAGGAGCUUACGUGCGAUCCUGGGCACCGCGGUGUCCGGGCGCAGCAUGGCCCCAUCCUGACUG
rnacentral:rRNA from 1 species